rnacentral:rRNA from 1 species
AUGCUGGGGAAGCAGGGAGGAUGCCGUUCAGAACGCCUGGGUCUAGAGGAGUGUGUCCAGGUGGAUAGGUGGUGGCCGAGGAUGGCCAUGAGCAGUUGGGUUGGGCAAAUGUCAACGCGAUGGCGUCGUUGCUCAAGGUACCAACUCCUUGUUUUGACCCAACGUUUCUUGGCUAGCUGUACAUGGUCGGGACUGUUUCGUGCAUCUAAGCGACGGCUCAUGCCAUCCACUUCCAAAGCAAUAAGCAAAAUAUUUCAAAAGCCCGUGACAGCGCACGUCCAUCUCUCAAAAGUGAUCAUGUGCCGCGAAGCCUCCUCGUAG